rnacentral:rRNA from 1 species
GACGAACGCUGGCGGCGUGCUUAACACAUGCAAGUCGAACGAAGAGCGAUGGAAGCUUGCUUCUCUCAAUCUUAGUGGCGAACGGGUGAGUAACGCGUAAUCAACCUGCCCUUCAGAGGGGGACAACAGUUGGAAACGACUGCUAAUACCGCAUACGAUCUAAUCUCGGCAUCGAGGAUAGAUGAAAGGUGGCCUCUACAUGUAAGCUAUCACUGAAGGAGGGGAUUGCGUCUGAUUAGCUAGUUGGAGGGGUAACGGCCCACCAAGGCGAUGAUCAGUAGCCGGUCUGAGAGGAUGAACGGCCACAUUGGGACUGAGACACGGCCCAGACUCCUACGGGAGGCAGCAGUGGGGAAUCUUCCGCAAUGGACGAAAGUCUGACGGAGCAACGCCGCGUGAGCGAUGACGGCCUUCGGGUUGUAAAGCUCUGUUAAUCGGGACGAAAGGCCUUCUUGCGAAUAGUGAGAAGGAUUGACGGUACCGGAGUAGAAAGCCACGGCUAACUACGUG